ACAAUUCGGAGGAUGGAGAGAGAAGGAAGAUCCGAAUGGAAUGGAAAGGCAGUCAGGUUAGCCGUGGCGACGGUGGGAGAGGCUAGGGACGAGGCAAGGCAAACGAUUUAGCUGCUGCUGGUUCGGCAAGCCACGAGUUUGAGUGCCGAGGUCCCGUUGCCCGUGCAUGCACCGGGAGAGGCGUCAUGAAAGCGCGCCAGUUGAUCGAGUGCACCUCUCGCCGGACGAAACUUCGGUUUUACCAUCGUUGAUUUCACCUUUGUCCCUCUCGUUUGUCCGCUUUUGCAGCGAACGAUCGACUCGCGCGUGUCCAUACCCAGCUGUUGCUAGAUUCUCUACAGGGAGAAGAGAACGGGAUUAGGAAAGAGAUUCAUGGACAAAGGAUACGACGGUUCUCGUGUGUUUUCCCCGCGGUUUCUCGUACAGUGAUUACAUGUCCUUGUCUCCGAAAUGGUAUCUCUGCCGCUGAACUAGGACAACGUGUGCGUGCGCUAGACGGCCGAUCGAACUUGGGUUCGAUGGAAAUUUAAAGCUCGGUGAUGCAUCCUGUGAUUCAGUGGUUUCUUCGGUUCCGUGAUCGUACUGCGAAUGGUACCUUGACAUAUUGAUCCCGCAGGUGUGGCCUCCACGACGAAACCAAAGAGUGAUCGAAACAAUGAGAACUCAUCCCUGUCAACUGGUAGCCGCUUUCGCUUGAACUGAUAAGUUCCGCUUCGCGGCUAGCGUUUCACCUUGACGCCGCCGGAGUCAUCGAGUGUGGCGGGUACGUUUGGGUUGAUAGUUUGCGAGGCAGAGGUUCGGAGCGGAAAUCAACCGUGCGACACGACCGAAUAUCUCUCGGGGUGUAGAGAGAGAGAGAAAGCCCCCCUGGGACCGUAACACAGAGUGGACAGAUUUCAAAUGCUUCUCACGUUCCGUACUAUUUUCUAUCCGCAUUAUAACCGCCGACGUUGACGCAGGCCGUUUACAUUCCAGAAAAUAGUUGAAAUUAUUUAUCCGAGUCGAAGGGAGAACGAUGCCCGAGACAAACGGCGCAGCCAAAGUGGUUUAUUUACAAGUUGCGUUAUAGUUCGGUUCGUUAGCUCGUCGUUGUCUCGCCUGCGCUGGAGGGUGGCAUCCCUCCCGGUCAUUAUCCCAUUCCAAGUGCUCCGACCGAGGAGAACGUUCCGCGAGGAGGAAACUCUCUCUAUCCAAGGCGGCGAGGGUAUUUCAUUUCAGAUUCCAAUUAACGGGUAGACGCAACGUCGCCGUCGAACAUGCCUAUCGCCGCCAAACCCGGCCGUUCUUGGUGAUCGAGUUCGACGACGACGGUUGAUCGACGGUAUGUCGAGCAGCCGCGUGUCAACGGCCAGCAACUUUCUAGUCUGAAAACUAGGAGGCACGGAUUCGAAAUUGUCAACGAAAGUACCCGUGCCGAGAACAGCUUUCGCAGUCAUGACGGAAGGAGGAACUAGACGAACGAGAAAAAAGAAGGCCACGUGAUCACCGUUGCCGUUCAGUUACCGAACACUCGAUUAGGAGUAACGCUCCGCGAUACGGCGGAGAUCAAAGGUGACUGGCAGCCAAGCAGUUGGUUUUUGACACGGCGGUCCGAGGGAAUUCCAGUGUCGUCGAUCGAUCGAGGGACUGUGCGUAGCCGCGUUUUUGCUGACGGAAAAGUGUUUGCCGGCUGUUCUUAGGCAAGCAAAUAGACCAGAACAGAAGAGAAAA